GGUUCUAGAGUGUAGUGGUUAGCAUUUCUGCUUUACACACAGAAGGUCCUGGUUUGAGCCCCAGUGGAGCCA
rnacentral:tRNA from 1 species